rnacentral:rRNA from 1 species
GCUGACAACGGAUGCCUUGGCAGGUUUUGCCGAUGAAGGACGCAUAUGGCGGCGAUACUCGUCGGGUAGGAGCCAUACUCCUUUUGAUCCGGCGGUUUCCGAAUGGGGCAACCCCUCCGAUGUUAAAUCGGAGAUCCCUACAUAAAGAUUCUACAGCAAUGUAGGAUAUAGUGUAAGGAAGGGCACUUGGGGAACUGAAACAUCUUAGUACCCAAAGGAAAAGAAAGCAUAAGCGAAUUCCCUUAGUAGCGGCGAGCGAAAAGGGAAAAGCCUAAACCCCGCCUUUGGCGGGGGGUUGUAGGGUCUUCAAUAUGGGAGAAUUACGGAUAGCUGAACUACUUGGAAUAGUAGGCCAUAGAGAGUGAAAGUCUCGUAAGCGAAAUCCAAGAUUACCUUAGAGGAUACCUGAGUAUCAUGGGGCACGAUUAAACCCUGUGAGAAGCUACCACGACCACGUGGUAAGGCUAAAUACAAAACCUGACCGAUAGUGAACUAGUACCGUGAGGGAAAGGUGAAAAGCACCCCGGAAGGGGAAUGAAAUAGAACCUGAAAUUGUCAGCUAACAAGCAGACAGAGUCCCGCCUUUGGCGGGGUGAUGUCGUGCCUAUUGAAGAAUGAACCGGUGAGUUAUUGUACUUUUCGUUAGUCUAAGUCUGCAAAGCAGACGUAGGCGUAGUGAAAGCGAUCCCUAAUUGGGGUAUUUUAGAAAAGUGCAUUAGACCCGAAACCGGGUGAGCUAACCUUGGGCAGGGCGAACUCCGCCGAAAGGCGGGGGGAGGCCCGAACCCGUGUCCGUCGCAAAGGGCUGGGACGACCUGAGGUUAGGGGCAAUAUGCCAAACGAACCCGGAGAUAGCUGGUUCUCCCCGAAAUAUAUUUAGGUAUAGCGCUACGUUUAAUGUUCUGGGGUAGAGCACUGGAUGGUUCGCGGCGAGGCAACUUGUCGCAACCAACCAAACUCCGAAUACGGGACAUAUAUAAAUGUGGUAGUCAGACAUGUCGGGCUAAGCUGAUGUGUCGAAAGGGAAAAAGCCCAAGACUUCAAUCUAAGGUCUCUAAAUGAAAACUUAGUGUAUAAGGAUGUCAAGUUCCAUAGACACCCAGGAGGUUGGCUUAGAAGCAGCCAUCCUUCAAAGAAAGCGUAACAGCUCACUGGCCGAUGGGACUUGGCGCCGAAAAUCUAUCGAGGCUCAAGUUUUCUACCGAAGAUGGAGGAGGGUACCAUACGGUACCCUCGGUAGGGGAGCGUCUUAUAUUCUGUGAAGCCGAACUGUAAGGUUUAGUGGAGGAUAUAGGAGUGAGAAUGCCGGUAUGAGUAGCGAGAGUCCGGUGCGAAACCGGACCGCCGAAGGCCCAAGGUUUCCCCGACAAUGUUAAUCAUUCGGGGGUGAGUCGGUCCUAACAGUGUGCCUCGCUCAGCGGGGUGUAGCUGGAUGGACAAUGGGUUGAUAUUCCCAUACAAAUCUGGAAAUUCAUAUCGAGGGGGUAACGAAACAAGAGUAGCUAACCCCGCCUUUGGCGGGGCUAAGUAGCAAGAUAGUGAUAAUUGGAAAAUCCAUUAUUGCGUUUAAUUAAGCUAUGACGGGAAGUCUCCGCCUCUGGCGGAGAUGACUUAGUAAGUUUUUGUUUCCGAGAAAAUCCUCAUCGAUUUUUUCCAGUUUUACCGUACCGAUAACCGACGCAGGUGGGCUAGUCGAGAAGACUAAGGCGAUCGGGAUAACAAUGAUCAAGGAACUCGGCAAAAAAGCUGGGCGUAACCUUUGGGAGAUGCCCUGCCCCGAGAGAAAUCGAGGGGCUGCAACAAAAGAGUGCUAAGCGACUGUUUAUCUAAAACACAGGUCCCUGCAAAGCUGAAAAGCAAAGUAUAGGGGCUGACGCCUGCCCAGUGCUCGUAGGUCAAGAGUAGUGGUUAAGAUUAUAUCAAGACUGUUACUCAAGCCCGAGUGAACGGCAGCAGUAACUAUAACUGUUCCACGGUAGCGAAGUUCCUUGUCGGGUAAGUUCCGACCCGCACGAAUGGCAGAACGACUUAGCAACUGUCUUGAUCAUUGACCCGGCGAAAUUGAAAUGGCUGUGAAGAUGCGGCCUAGUUGUCCUUGGACAAAAAGACCCCGGGAGCUUUACUGUAGCUUGAUAUUGGAAGGAAGCCGAGAACUGUCGAGAAUAGGAGGGACCCUGAGAGCAAUCGAAGGGAACAGUGGAAUACCUCUCUUUCUUAGUUUCUAACCUUACUUCGUAGCCGCUAAAAAAUCCGGCAGGAGGACAGUGUCUGGUGGGCAGUUUAACUGGGGAGGUUGCCUCCAAAAACGUAACGGAGGCGCACAAAGGUUGGCUUUCCGCCGAUGGAAAUGGCGGAUUAAGUGCAAAGACAUAAGCCAGCUUGACUGCGAGACAAACAAGUCGAGCAGGUACGAAAGUAGGUCUUAGUGAUCCUGUGUGGUCAAGUGGUUUGACGCACAGCUUAACGGAUAAAAGCUACCCCGGGGAUACAUUUCUGUGUCCCGAUUCUAUGGUAACAUAGAAUCAGAGUAUACGGCUAAUAACGGUGGAGCCUUCUUGUUUUUGGUGGUUAAAGUCUUCCACCUACGAGGGAAACAAAGGGUAAUACCGUGGGAAGUCGGAGGAAUAUGAAGUUAACUAAAAGGCAAAUGGCAAUUCUGGUGGGAACAAUUUUGGGAGAUGGAUAUCUUCAAAUGACAGGAAAAACGAAUGCUCGAUUAAGACUUGAACAUCGCCUGUUUCAUAAAGAGUAUUUGCUCUGGAAGAUAAAAGUUUUACCAAAAAGUUUUCAAGGGAAAUAUACGACCUUGCGCAGGGUUCAUCCUGCAACCCACAAAGAAUAUGCUUAUGCUAGAUACCAAUCAAAUGCAUCUCCAUUUUUGGGUAAAUUACAUCAAGUUUUUUAUCCAAAUGGCAAAAAGAAAAUUCCGGAAGAUUUGGCAAAAUGGCUAAAACUUCCACUUUCAUUUGCAGUAUGGUAUUUAGAUGACGGGUAUAGAUAUGCCAGAGAUAAAUGUGCAUAUCUUUAUUUAGGGUGUAUAUCUAGAAAGGAAGCAGAAAUUGCUCAAAUUGCACUUUUAGAAAAUUUUGAACUUCAAACAAGAAUUUUAGAUAAGAAGAAAAAGGGCUUUGCUUUAUACUUUUCGCCGAAUGAAAUUGCGAAGGUCAAAGAGCUAGUAAAACCUUACAUUCUUCCAAUCAUGAAUUAUAAACUUCCUCCUGACCCCGUAUCGACUGAAUGAAAUCACGUUUAGUUUAUAUAAACGUGAGAGUAGUGAGAUCCGCCAUCUGGCGGAUCAUACGCCGUACCCCCGCCAAAGGCGGGGUGAAGAUAUAGUCAGUGCCUAGAAGUAAUUCUAGGAUUAUUAAUAACACGAACAGGCUGAUCGCUCCCAAGCGUCCAUAGCGACGGGGCGGUUUGGCACCUCGAUGUCGGCUCAACGCAUCCUGGGGGUGAAGAAGCUCCCAAGGGUCCGGCUGUUCGCCGGUUAAAGCGUUACGCGAGCUGGGUUCAGAACGUAAAUAUACAUUGCGUUCUAGCAUAGUAAUAUGCUACAAUAAAGUCGACUCAUAUCGGUGAAACCCUCUAGAAAUUAUAGAACUGGUUUCUAAGGGUAAUACCGAGGGAAGAUAAAGAUGGUAGAAGUGACAAGAGCUUAUAUUGCUGGUUUUCUUGAUGGAGAUGGUUCAAUCUUCUUACAACUCAUAAGAAGAAAAGAUUACAAAUUUGGCUAUCAAAUUAGGGCGAGCAUCGUUUUCUAUCAGCAUAAUUCCAAUAAGAAAAUUUUGAAGUGGUUAAAACACAAAUUAAGGAUUGGUUAUUUGAGAGAUAGGAAAGAUGGAAUGACUGAAUAUACGAUAGUCGGUUUAGAAGAAGUGAAGCGAGUAAUUAUUCUUACUAAACCAUACGUGUUCUUAAAAAGAAAACAAGCAGAGCUAGCUCUAAGAAUUAUUAAAAGGCUUGAGAGAGGUAAUAUAAGUGCAGGAAUGUUUUUAAGAAUAGCAAAAGAAGUUGAUAAAUUUAAAAUACUCAAUUAUUCUAAAAAGCGCACGAAUACUUCUCUUAAAGUCCGUAAAUAUUUUAUCACACAUCAUCUUUUAUCCCCGUAACGACUUCUCGCCAUUGGCGAGAGACUUCAAGAGAUUCUUGAGGUAAGACGUCGAAUCCUACUCCCGCAAUAUUGUGGGACAAGAGGAAUAAGGUAUAGUCUAUGCCAUUGGAAACAAUGGGUAAACAUGCGUAAGACAGUUCGGUCUCUAUCCAGGACAACCGUUCGAGAUUUGAGGGGAGCCGUCCCUAGUACGAGAGGACUGGGAUGGAGGAAUCCCUGGUGUACCAGUUGUAUAAAAAAUGCAUCGCUGGGUAGCUAUAUUCCUAUGGGAUAACCGCUGAAAGCAUCUAAGUGGGAAGCCCACCCCAAGAUUAGGUCUCGUUAAAAAGACCCGUUGUAGACUACAACGUUGAUAGGUGGCAGGUGUAAGAGCAGUAAUGCUUUAAGCCGAGCCAUACUAAUCGGUCGAGAGU